AAUGACAGAAAAGUGAGUUUUGUGCGUCGUCUCCGGGGAUCUGCAACGACAGAGAAUUAGGCGAUGAAGCGUAGUUCAACUUCAACGGUAAGGAAACCGUUGAGGUAUUCUUCACGGAAGCUUAUACGCAACAUCAUUCUCUCUCUCGCCGUUUUGACCAUUUUGCCUCCCAUUUUCUUCCACUUCCGCCUCCGACGCUUCCACCAGAUGCAACUGCGAAAGUGCCGCUGGCUCAGCGAUCCUCCUCUCGUGUGCGCUCACGGUGGCGAUUCCUCCAAGGCUUCGCCCAACACUAUGGCAUCGUAUCUCUCUGCUCUUCAGUCUCGUGUCGACUGUGUUGAGAUCGAUGCCUCUCGUUCUUCCGACGGAGUUCUGUUCGCCCUCCAUGACAGGCAGGGAUUUGCAGCGGAUAUCUGGAAACGCUAGCUCUAAGGUUGGUUACAUGAGCUCGAAUGAGUUUAUUUCUGUAGAUAAGAGAGCUUAGUGCUUCGCAUCGGUCUACUGAGAAAUUUAACGAUGAAAGUAUACUCACUAUUCAAGAUGCUCUGAUGUUGACUUCAAAUUCAGUCCAACAGAUAAUUCUAGAUGUUAAAGUUGGACCCCCGUUUUAUGAGAAAGAACUUGCCAAAGAUAUUAUCUCCAUUGUGGAGAAUACAGAGUGCAAAAACUGCAUCAUAUGGGCUAAAAGUGACAAUUUAGUAAGGGAUGUAAUUAAGAUCUCAUCAGAAAUUACAGUCGGCUACAUUGUUAUGAGAGAACCUUCUACUGGGGCUAGGACAAAUUUGUUGAGGAUGAUAGGCGCUGAGGUUGUUGGUGUCUACCAUCCAUUGAUUGAUGAAAAGCUUAUGAGAGUUUUGCACAGGAGGAACAAAAAGGUGUAUGCCUGGACAGUUGACGAUGAGGAAUCCAUGCAAAAGGUGUUGUUUGAUCAUGUUGAUGCUAUUGUUACGAGCAACCCAACUUUUCUUCAACGCCUAAUGCAAGAUAUCAGAACACAAUGUCUUGAAGAAGGUUAUUCAUAACUACACUAAAAUUUGUUUCUAGAACGUAACAUUUUAGAGAGGCCUUUUAUGUUGUGUUUGUUAGAACACUUGUAUACCGUGUGAUCUCCAUCCUUCUCUCUUGGAUGCAAAUUGAUUUUGAGGGUGCAGAAAAACGGAGUAUUAUCAUGCAGGAUUAGACCCCUUGCCUUUGGGAUUUACAACGGGUUUUAUGUAAUCCAAUUAUCAUUUCGGUCUUAAAUAUUGAUCAUAUUCGUGAGGAAAUUGCUGGUUGCGUUACC